CCAACCAUCCCUCUGACCUUCUCUAAGCCGGGCAUUCUCAAUAACCAAAUUCAAGUUAAGCACCGAAGUGAGUUCUCUUUCCAAGAGAGGCCGGGACCACUCAAGAUUCCAAUGCCACGAACCUCCAUUCCAAACCCCCAAAUUUUUGAUAAAACUAUCUUGUUGCCGACUUAAGCGAAAAAGUCUGGGAAAGGUCAACUUAAGAGGUUGCUCCCCAAUCCAAGCGUCGUGCCAAAACAGGGUCUGAUCGCCUUCGCCAACCGAGAUCUCCACGUUUUCUCUGAACCAAGUUCCACCUUCCCCCCGGC
rnacentral:lncRNA from 1 species